UUUUAAAAUCAUUCAACCAAUUACAAAAAUAACUACAACAUCUGAUUGGUUACACAGUUUUCAAUAAAGUUAAAAAUAACAUAAAAUAUCAAAACAUCAACUAUUUUGAAACAACAAAAAUCUUCUAAAACAUCAUCUAUUAUGAAACGGAAAAAAUAUAACUUUUAAUCAGAGAUUUUUAAAAUUACGGGAAACAGAACCGAAAGCAACUUCACAAAAAAAAAAAUAUAAUCCGUUCCGAUCAUAUACUGUAACCCAUUUAUGGUUCGUAAAUUCAGCCUUGUAAACUUUAGAAUAUCGUAAGUUUGAAAAGAAAAAAUCCUACUAUAUAAAAGGGACUAAAUUCAAGGCUUUUGGGACUAUC
rnacentral:lncRNA from 1 species